GUUCAUUCCUGAACAUAUACUAAAAUUGGAACAAUAUAGUGAAGAUUAGCAUGGCCCCUGCGCAAUUACACUACCAACAACAAAAAACAAGAUUUU
rnacentral:snRNA from 1 species